GAGUUUGAUCCUGGCUCAGAACGAACGCUGGCGGCAGGCUUAACACAUGCAAGUCGAACGCCCCGCAAGGGGAGUGGCAGACGGGUGAGUAACGCGUGGGAACGUACCUUUCGCUUCGGAAUAGUCCCGGGAAACUGGGUUUAAUGCCGGAUACGCCGUAUUGGGAAAGAUUUAUCGGCGAAAGAUCGGCCCGCGUUAGAUUAGCUAGUUGGCGGUGUAAUGGACCACCAAGGCGACGAUCUAUAGCUGGUCUGAGAGGAUGAUCAGCCACACUGGGACUGAGACACGGCCCAGACUCCUACGGGAGGCAGCAGUGGGGAAUCUUGGACAAUGGGCGCAAGCCUGAUCCAGCCAUGCCGCGUGAGUGAAGAAGGCCUUAGGGUUGUAAAACUC
rnacentral:rRNA from 1 species